AACCUUUGCAAUGUGCGCAAGCACGACAAGGUUAAUCCGAGUGUUUCCUGCUAAAGGAAUCUUUUGUUAGUUCUAAAACCACUGAUGAAUAAGGGGUGGGCAAGUUCUGGUGUCAGCCGCCGCGGUAAAACCAGCACCUCAAGUGGUCAGGAUGAUUAUUGGGCCUAAAGCAUCCGUAGCCUGUUCUGUAAGUUUCCGGUUAAAUCCAUUAGCUCAACUAAUGGGCUGCCGAAAAUACUGCAGAACUAGGGAGUGGGAGAGGUAGACGGUACUCGGUAGGAAGGGGUAAAAUCCUUUGAUCUAUUGAUGACCACCUGUGGCGAAGGCGGUCUACCAGAACACGUUCGACGGUGAGGGAUGAAAGCUGGGGGAGCAAACCGGAUUAGAUACCCGGGUAGUCCCAGCUGUAAACGAUGCAGACUCGGUGAUGCCCUGGCUUGUGGCCAGUGCAGUGCCGCAGGGAAGCCGUUAAGUUUGCCGCCUGGGAAGUACGUACGCAAGUAUGAAACUUAAAGGAAUUGGCGGGGGAGCAC
rnacentral:rRNA from 1 species